rnacentral:rRNA from 1 species
CGCUCAGAUGCGAAAGCGUGGGUAGCAAACAGGAUUAGAUACCCUGGUAGUCCACGCCGUAAACGCUGUCUGCUUGGAGGUUGAGGUUUAAGACUUUGGCUUUCGGCGCUAACGCAUUAAGUAGACCGCCUGGGGAGUACGGCCGCAAGGUUAAAACUCAAAUGAAUUGACGGGGGCCCGCACAAGCGGUGGAGCAUGUGGUUUAAUUCGAUGCAACGCGAAGAACCUUACCUACUCUUGACAUCCAGAGAACUUUCCAGAGAUGGAUUGGUGCCUUCGGGAACUCUGAGACAGGUGCUGCAUGGCUGUCGUCAGCUCGUGUUGUGAAAUGUUGGGUUAAGUCCCGCAACGAGCGCAACCCUUAUCCUUGUUUGCCAGCACGUAAUGGUGGGAACUCCAGGGAGACUGCCGGUGAUAAACCGGAGGAAGGUGGGGACGACGUCAAGUCAUCAUGGCCCUUACGAGUAGGGCUACACACGUGCUACAAUGGCAGAUACAGAGGGCAGCGAAGCUGCGAAGUGGAGCGAAUCCCUUAAAGUCUGUCGUAGUCCGGAUUGGAGUCUGCAACUCGACUCCAUGAAGUCGGAAUCGCUAG